rnacentral:sRNA from 1 species
ACUUUCUCAAACUUUUGCCGAGGGGUGGCGAGAAGGUAGACGUCCAGGUCCCACCCGAUAUAGAUUAAGGGCUGGCAACACAGUCAAGGGGAAAUUAUGACCAAGACAACCUUUGCUAAAAUGCCAGCGGUGACUGCCAUUGAUGUUCCUAUAAAAGUCCAGUUACAACACAGGGAUCACAACAAACACAACCGCCACAGAAGCACUAUGGCAUUACUUCUCCUAUCAGCUUAGCAGCCCCCAAGGAGACUGACUGCGUACUUACACAGAAACUAAUUGAGACAUUGAAACCCUUUGGGGUUUUUGAAGAGGAAGAGGAACUGCAGCGCAGGAUUUUAAUUUUGGGAAAACUAAAUAACCUGGUAAAAGAGUGGAUACGAGAAAUCAGUGAAAGCAAGAAUCUUCCACAAUCUGUAAUUGAAAAUGUUGGAGGAAAAAUUUUUACAUUUGGAUCUUACAGAUUAGGAGUGCAUACAAAAGGUGCUGAUAUUGAUGCGUUGUGUGUUGCACCAAGACAUGUUGAUCGAAGUGACUUUUUCACCUCAUU